rnacentral:rRNA from 1 species
UACGGAGGGUGCAAGCGUUGUCCGGAUUCACUGGGUUUAAAGGGUGCGUAGGUGGGCAGGUAAGUCAGUGGUGAAAUCCUGUAGCUUAACUACAGAACUGCCAUUGAUACUAUUUGUCUUGAAUACCCUGGAGGUGAGCGGAAUAUGUCAUGUAGCGGUGAAAUGCUUAGAUAUGACAUAGAACAUCUAUUGCGAAGGCAGCUCACUACGGGAAUAUUGACGCUGAGGCACGAAAGCGUGGGGAUCAAACAGG